AAAGAUAGAGGGAUUGAGCCACGGAGUGUAUUAUUGCUAAAUCCUAAAUUGAAAAGAGACCUCAAGUUUCCUAUUUCACUUGGAAUUGAGCCAGAAAGUGAAUUGUCAUAAAGAUACAAGGUAGCUAAGUUGCUCAAAUUGCCCAAAGAUGGAGGGAUUGAGCCACUAAGUUUAUUGUACCCUAAAUUAAGUGUGGAAAGAGACCUCAAGUUUCCAAAUUCACUUGGAAUUGAGCCAGAAAGUGAAUUGUUAAAAAGAGACAAGGCAGCUAAGUUGCUCAAAUUGCCCAAAGAUGGAGGGAUUGAGCCACUGAGUUUAUUAUUGCUCAAUUCUAGAUCGGAAAGAGACCUCAAGUUUCCUAUUUCACUUGGAAUUGAGCCAGAAAGUGAAUUGUCAAAAAGAUACAAGGUAGCUAAGUUGCUGAAAUUGCUCAAAGAUGGAGGGAUUGAGCCACUGAGUUUAUUAUUGUUCAAUGCUAGAUCAGAAAGAGACCUUAAGUUUCCUAUUUCACAUGGAAUUGAGCCAGAAAGUGAAUUGUUAUAAAGAUACAAGGUAGCUAAGUUGCGUAAAUUGCUCAAAGAUGGAGGGAUUGAGCCACUGAGUUUAUUAUUGCUCAAUUCUAGAUCGGAAAGAGACCUCAAGUUUCCUAUUUCACUUGGAAUUAAGCUAGAAAGUGAAUUGUUAUAAAGAUACAAGGUAGCUAAGUUGCUCAAAUUGCAAAAAGAUGGAGGAAUUGAGCCACUGAGUUUAUUAUUGUUCAAUGCUAGAUCAGAAAGAGACCUCAAGUUUCCUAUUUCACUUGGAAUUGAGCCAGAAAGUGAAUUGUCAUAAAGAUACAAGGUAGCUAAGUUGCUCAAAUUGCCCAAAGAUGGAGGGAUUGAGCCACUAAGUUUAUUGUACCCUAAAUUAAGUGUGGAAAGAGACCUCAAGUUUCCAAAUUCACUUGGAAUUGAGCCAGAAAGUGAAUUGUUAAAAAGAGACAAGGCAGCUAAGUUGCUCAAAUUGCCCAAAGAUGGAGGGAUUGAGCCACUGAGUUUAUUAUUGCUCAAUUCUAGAUCGGAAAGAGACCUCAAGUUUCCUAUUUCACAUGGAAUUAAGCCAGAAAGUGAAUUGUCAUAAAGAUACAAGGUAGCUAAGUUGCUUAAAUUGCCCAAUGAUGGAGGGAUUGAGCCACUGAGUUUAUUAUUGUUCAAUGCUAGAUCAGAAAGAGACCUUAAGUUUCCUAUUUCACCUGGAAUUGAGCCAGAAAGUGAAUUGUCAUAAAGAUACAAGGUAGUUAAGUUGCUUAAAUUGCUCAAAGAUGGAGGGAUUGAGCCACUGAGUUUAUUAUUGCUCAAUUCUAGAUCGGAAAGAGACCUCAAGUUUCCUAUUUCACCUGGAAUUGAGCCAAAAAGUGAAUUGUCAUAAAGAUACAAGGUAGCUAAGUUGCUCAAAUUGCCCAAAGAUGGAGGGAUUGAGCCACUGAGUUUAUUGUACCCUAAACUAAGUGUAGAAAGAGACCU
rnacentral:lncRNA from 1 species